CAGGCAGAGCGAAGGCUCUGAUUCAGCUGUUUGAUCCUGGUUUCCCUGGGCACUUGCUCUUGAUGACCCUGGGCUGUUCAGGAAACGGUUUAUGCCUCUGGGUCCUCAUCUCAAAGUGGGCGAGGACUUCAGGAGCCUCGCUCUCCUCUGUCCCUCCGGUACCCACAUCUACUCACCGAGCCCUGGCCCCUUCCGUGGCUACGUUCAGUCCCGCCGUCUCCUCCCGGGUGCCGGUGGAGAAGCCGAGGAUGUUGGGGUUGAACUUCUUCAGAAUGUCUUUGAAGGGGGAGAUGGAAGAGUGCACAGUUGGAGGCUAAUUACUUCACAAUGAAAGGUGUUUUAAAAGGAGGAGAGAAGACGACAACUCUGAAUGCUGCCACAAGAGGUGUUCCUAGCCGAAACAUGGGCCAGAGGAGCACUCAGGGCCAAGGGCAGGAAGUGUGCCCUGGACCA